AGACCCGAAACCCGGUGAUCUAGCCAUGGGCAGGUUGAAGGUUGGGUAACACUAACUGGAGGACCGAACCGACUAAUGUUGAAAAAUUAGCGGAUGACCUGUGGCUGGGGGUGAAAGGCCAAUCAAACCGGGAGAUAGCUGGUUCUCCCCGAAAGCUAUUUAGGUAGCGCCUCGUGAAUUCAUCUCCGGGGGUAGAGCACUGUUUCGGCUAGGGGGCCAUCCCGGCUUACCAACCCGAUGCAAACUGCGAAUACCGGAGAAUGUUAUCACGGGAGACACACGGCGGGUGCUAACGUCCGUCGUGAAGAGGGAAACAACCCAGACCGCCAGCUAAGGUCCCAAAGUCAUGGUUAAGUGGGAAACGAUG
rnacentral:rRNA from 1 species